GGCUUUUUACCCUGGCAUUGCUUUUAAACUACAUAGCAAAUGGUUUGUAAUGUUUAAAAAUAUCUGAGUUUUACUUUUUGUACUUAUAAUUCCAAUGCAACUGUUUUUUGUUUUUCAUUUAUUAUUCUGAAAAUAAAAUUAAGAUAACAACCCCUUACAGGCCUAAGUCUUAUAACAGAAGGUACAACACUUAUAGGACAAGAGCAGCCAAACACAGCCUUGAAAGAGGAAGAGCCUGACCACUCAAAAUGGCAACAUUAAAUAUGGCUGCUACAGAAAAGCAAGUCAAUUACACAACUACACAAUUACCAUCUUGAGCACAGUUGAGGGUGCAAGCCUUUCAAAGUAUACUCCUUUGGCUGUGAGCAUGGACAGACACGUUUGCCGUUUCUAGUGAACUUUGUUUUCAAGUGCUCAAGUCACUCGCACAUGCGCUGUUGUACGCACACCUUCCCCACAGUAUAUGGUGUGUAAACACCGUUAAUUUACACAACAUUGUUGUGUACAUCAGACAUUAGCUUAUGUACCAGUGGAUAAUAAGUGACACAUGGUUGGUAUACCAGGAACAAGACAAUAGUGUAAAUGUGGAUCACUCUCUGCUCAAGCAGCUGAACCAGCUCUACUGGUUGUGAAAGAUGACACAGCCUUCACAGAGGAGAAGAUGAUGAGGGCUGAUAAACGUCUGAUGGAAAUGAUUACUAGCAGUACAAUUCUCAAUACAAACUAUUGUAGACGUUUGAAAGAAAUAAAAUCAAAUUGCUUUGUAAUAAGUGAAGAUGAUAAUGCUUUUUUGGAGUUGUUUAAUCAUCCUCUGCUAAGACAUUUAAAAUGUUUUUAUUUUCGAAUGUUUUUGAUUUCAUCCAAGUCUAUGCACCUGUGUGAAUUUUGGUUGUUGUGUUUCUGCUCGUCUCUUCUCUUUUUUCUGUUCUUGUUGUUUCUCUCACUAACCAGCACAAGUGGUUGAAACAAUGGAUGGAUGAUCGGAUUAUCUAAUUAAUGACAAGUUAAGUUACUAUAAGUUGCAAUGACUUAAAACAUAAAGAAAUAUCCUGAUAUUUCUCUAGAAUGCUUUAUGUCAUUUUCCAACUAACUUCAUGCUGAGAAGACAAUCAGUACACUUACAAUUUGGAGGCUUGAGAAAAAAAAAAGUGUUUGUGUUUGCCUAUUACUGGUUUGUCCAGUUCCCUUGAAACAUGUUGAUGAAAGCAGUGAUAGUCCAAACAUGCAUCAGUUUUAGUUUCUCUCUCACGGUGGUUGGAACUUUUAUAAUGAAAAAAUCCAUUUUACAAUGAAAUCCAACCAUUUUCGGGAAUUUUUUUUAGAAAUCUGCAAUAAAGACACUAAAAACGACUGAGAGCAGAAUUGAUCACUGCGAAGGAUUAAUUAUUAUUUCAAGCAAGAUAUUUGGCUUUUACAAUGGCAGACGAACUGCGAUUAGUGUUAUUAGGAGGAUAUCAGAGUGGUAAGAGUAAUGUGGCACACUCCUUUUUAAAUGUUAAAUGUGAAUCUGACCAAACAACCACACAGUGUGUGAAGAUGGAAGGAAACAUACAUGGCAGGAAAAUCAUUCUUGUGGACACCCCAGGCUGGUGGAAGUGUUAUCAGUUAUGUGACACCCCACAGCGUCUGAAAGCAGAGCUUGUUAAGAGCACCAAUAUCUGUCCACCGGGACCUCAUGUUUUCCUCCUGGUGAUAGAGGCUGAUUUUGCUUUCUCAGAGAAGCACAGGAAAGUAGCCGAGGGUCACGUGCAGUUCAUUGGUGAUGACAUCUGGAAUCAAACCAUAAUAGUCUUCACAAAACUCAAACAUUUGGGUGACAAAACUAUAGAGCAAUAUGUAGAACGUGAAGGGGAAAACUUGAACAAGCUUACUCAAAAAUGUGGAAACAGAUAUGUUGGCUUUGACACUGACCUUGAUACAGAUGGCUCCCAGGCGAAGGAAUUAUUUAGGCAGAUAGAGAAACUUGUUGCUGAAAACAAUGGCUGCUUUUUUCAAGUUGAUGCAAGAAGGCUGAUGGAUCUGGAGAUUACAAUGAAAAAUGUGGAAGAGAAAGCAGCUGCAAGAGAACACCAAGUUUUGGAGAAGAGAAGAAAACUGAAAGAAAUUAAAAGUGCAGGUCAGUGUCGAAUUUUAGGUUGGUCAAGUUUGGCUGUAACGAUUCCUCGAUUAAAUUCGAAUAAUUUAAUUUUUAAAGAGGUGGUUCAGUGUUUUUAUUCUAGGCUUAAUUGUGUUUAUGGGGCACAGUUUAACAUGCCUUAAUGCUUCGUUUUUUAAAAAAAACUGUAUUUUUCAUAUAUUUUACCUUUAUUCUAAACCGCUGUUUCCAUUGUCAUUUGAACGGCUGGUUUGACUUCCCAAUUCUAUGACACCACUCCCUCGGAAAUACGCAAUGGGCUCAGAUUGGUUAGCUGGCCCAGUGUAUUGUGAUUCACUGAAGCGUCCGGAAACACCACGGCCCUUACCAUUAGUUGUUACAUGUGCUUCGGUUUAAAUGUAAAUAAUGGCGUCUAUUCAGUUGUUAAGUCUGACGUCAAGCGGCAGCGCUUCCGGGUCCAAACGUUCUCUCAUACCACAAGAAAACAACAAACGGUGCUAAUAUACACAAACGAUGUGGUGUAAUACUACCAAAAAAUUAUAAUCAUAACCUUUAUCUCCAUACCAAAAUCCCAGAUGGCCAGACAGUGAUUCAUCUUUUAUAAAUGUUAAAAUAUUAAUGUCUGUGAUGCUGUGAGCACGGAGACGGUUUUGUAGACUUCAAGUAUUUUAAAUGUUUAACUUUUUAAAAUGUUAAAUGUUUAAUAUGAAUAAAUAGCGUUCAUAAACGGCCAUCGAGAUGGCAUUCUCAAGUGAAACGAAUCGAGGCUUGGACCCGGAAACGGCGUUCCUUACGUCACGACUUAACAAGCGGAUAUUGCCGUAUCAAAUUGAGCCGAUAGCAGUAUUGAUGAAGAGGGUCAAGCAGAACCUCAGCAAGCACGGUUUUUAAAGGACGUUUAUGAAUGGUAAGUAUUUCCUUUUGUACUUGUGUCAAAGUGUUUAGAUAUGCUGUCACUUGUAAAUGUUACUGCUGUUUGUUAGCUUUCAAUAUACGGUUUUAUCCUGAUUAAAGCUUUACUGUAGCUGAAUACAUGAAUGAGUAGUGGCAUUUUUGUAAAGGUAUCAUUUAAUUUAUAGCAUGAACAACUGUUUGUCUAUGAACAUAGAAGUUUGUUGGCGUUUGUUGGAAAAGUAUACAAUAGAAUUUAGCUAACUGAAGCAAAAGAGCGUUGGUCUUUGUUUACGUCCUUGGUGCAACCAAAAAAUAGCAACAUAAUACAUUUAAAAGACAUGUACAAACAAUAAAACAUACUUACAUUGUUUCAAUUUGCCCGUGUCGAGUAACCGGUAAAAUGCCGAAAGUGGCGCUUUCCAUGGGCAAGAAUCCAUGAAACGCAUAGACUUGGUCGGCAUUACUGGGAAUGCCCACAAAAACGUCAUAUCCGUUUAUGCCGUGGGGGAAAGCAAACCAUUCGGUUGUAGCAUUUCUGUCGUAAAGCAAUGGCCAAAUAUUAAAGAUUAAUUGGACAUUUGAAAUAAAUGUUGUAAGCCAAUAUUAUACAAGGAUUAGAUCGCGUUGUAAAGUGUAAAAACAAUCGUCAGGCCACUGGCGCCCUCUGCAAGCAUGUGUUAUAAUACAUAAAGAAGAUCUGUCUCUUCUAUUUUAAUAUUUUAUUUAUAAUAUAUUAAUAUCAUAUAAAUAUAACUAAAAUAUUUCAUUACAAUAUUAUAAAAUAAUAUUUCAUUUAUAAUUAUAAAUAUUUAUUAAUUCUAUAUAUUUUAUAUAUAUAUUACAAAAAAAAUUUCAACAGAUGCAGGGCAUGAUGCUACACCUCUGAAUAUUGUGCUGCUGGGCUGGGUCCUGUCAGGCAAGACAUUAGCUGGCAGUGUCAUCUUGGGCGCUGACAUUUCAUUUGACAAGACUGCGAAGUGUGUCCGAACAUGUGGAGAAGUGAAUGGACGACAGAUCACUGUGGUGGACACACCAAGCUGGUGGAAAUUCCUUCCGCAUCAACUGAACGCAGAUUCAGUGAAAACUGAGAUCUUGAAGGCAAUGGAUUCUUCUCCCCACGCAUUCCUCUUGGUUAUACCAGCAGACACAUCGUUCUUAGAAGAGCAGUUGGAAGUCAUAUUAGAAAACAUGAGACCACUUGGAGAAAAGGUCUGGAGGCAAACCAUGGUGCUCUUCACAUGGGGAGGAUCAUUGGGAAACAAACCAAUUGAGUACCACAUUGAAAGUGAAGGGGACGCCCUUGUGAGACUUGUUGAGAUGUGCGGGAACAGAUAUCAUGUGUUUGAGAGCAUGAGAGAGGAUCGCACCCAAGUAAAUCAGUUACUGGAGAAGAUUGAGGAAAUGAUAAUGGAAAGUGCUCUGCUAAAAAGCAAUGAUGAACAUCAGGGAAAGAAAAAGAAGUUUCAAGAAAGAGAAACCCUAUCCGAGUGGCUUCCAGUUAAGGAUGUAAAAAAAUUACUUGAUGAAGAAUGGGAGAGGAGUGACGCUAUGACGAAAGAGAUGUUGAAAACAAUUAGCCAACAAAGAGCUGUCAAACGAGGACAGAGCAUACAGUUACCUCCUAAUUUCAGUGGAGAAGCAAUAAAUACAGAACUAUUUAUCAACAAACACCAGCUAAAAGAUGCACUUGAGAGAGAAUGGAAUCGUCGGGAAGCAGUAGACAGCUUUAGGAUCCUAUAUAAACUAAAAUGCUUGGAUGACAAUGCAGACAUGUCCUCAUGUGUCGAUGACAAGGACAUACAGAUGUCUUUGGCUAAAGUGCACGACUGGUAUCAGAGGCAUCAUUCAUCAGACUAUGCAAGUGUUUCCAGCAAUGAGGAACAUGACAAGACUCAACAGGAUGGAGAUUAAUC